AUAAAAAUUUAUUUCACACGUAGCACUGGUAGCAUUGCAUACAUUAGGUAGAUAUAAAUAUGCAAAAAAAUAAAUAUGCACUUUUGCAUGGUUGUUGCCAUGGAAUUUUGUGGUUCUUGUGCCAUGAAAUAAUCACAAUGUAACCUGUGACUUCUGUACUGCACUAGGCAAAAAUCAUUUAUUUCUACAUUUUAUCUAGGUUUGAGGUAAAUCCAGUUCAUGGGAGAUUAGUUUGUGUUGCACUUCCUCUUGCUAUGACAGAUGUAGUUACUGACAGGAGCCUGCUAAGAUACCAGCUCCCCCUGUGUUUCUACAAGAAAGGUUAUCUCUUUUCUUGAGCUUGGCAAGAUUCAUAACAGGAACACUGACGCUGAAACACUUAAGUGGCAAUGCCAAAUGCGAUUUCAGUCUCCUGGGAGCGCGGAGGCGUCGGGGAUGCCUGAAGACCCAGGGAGAGAGGAUGCAGCACAGCUCCUGGUGGUGGGACGGGCGUGGGGCGUGUGCCAGAGUGAGAGGGAAGUCCACCGGGGCGUUCAUCGAGAGGCAGCAAUGUUUGAUAAAGCUUUUGGCGGGAUUUGCAGUGGUGCUUACCAUUCAGGAACGCGGGCAGUGCCUGAAUUCUGAAAUUACCUUGACCUCCUGUUGUGAGCAUGCUGUGGCCCCAGAGCUCUCUAGAGACACUCUGCAGUGACAUGGAAGCUAAGGGAGACUGGCUCUGCUCAGAGAUGAAACAGCGAAGCCCCAGAGUACAGCUGGAAGCAGAAGGGUGAGAGAGCAUGAGAAAAUGAGAGAAAGAGGAAGGACAGGAGUCCAAGAAGUCGUCAGGUGACUCCAAUUGAGACCAAACUGUUUUCACAGCAGUGGAGCAUAAUGGAAUUGACUGUAAUCAUGCAGCAAGAGCUGUUCCUCCUGCCCUUCCUAAUGAGGCCCGUGCACUUGCCUUUCAUCUUCCUUUUUCUUCCUUCCAUUUAUUUAUUUAUUUAUAUUUUUAAUAUCUUCUUCCCUGUUCUGUAUUCUUCCAGCCCCCCUUCCCUCUGGGCACUUGGACUGCGGGUGUAAGUUAAUUGGAUUAAUGCACCGGUUGGACUGCGUAUGAUGCUGAGUCUGAGACACGGGUAUCAAUCUCCACACAAUCAAUUUACAGCUGUCGUCCUGCCAGCUGUGGGUAGCAGAUGGGCUCUUACACCACUGCUCCGUCCGACUGUUUACAGCACCACAGUUGGAACCUAGAGCCCUGCCUUGCCCUGUUCUUACAGUCUAGAAUCCUGCCUUAGAUGUGUCUGUACUGAUUAAAGCCUUGUUCCUGAAUGUUCCUAA